AUACGGAGGGUGCAAGCGUUAAUCGGAAUUACUGGGCGUAAAGCGUACGUAGGCGGCAAGUUAAGUUAGAUGUGAAAGCCCCGGGCUCAACCUGGGAACUGCAUUUAAAACUGGCUUGCUAGAGUUGAGUAGAGGGGAGUGGAAUUUCAGGUGUAGCGGUGAAAUGCGUAGAGAUCUGAAGGAACACCAGUGGCGAAGGCGACUCCCUGGACUCGAACUGACGCUGAGGUACGAAAGCGUGGGUAGCAAACGGGAUUAGAAACCCGAGUAGUCC
rnacentral:rRNA from 1 species